rnacentral:tRNA from 1 species
GGAGUUGUGGCUCAGUGGUAGAGCGCUUGCCUAGCAUGCGUGAAGCCCUGGGUUCGAUCCCCAGCACCG